UACAGAGGGGGCAAGCGUUGUUCGGAAUUACUGGGCGUAAAGGGCGCGUAGGCGGCCUGUUAAGUCGAACGUGAAAUCCCCGGGCUCAACCCGGGAACUGCGUCCGAUACUGGCAGGCUUGAAUCCGGGAGAGGGAUGCGGAAUUCCAGGUGUAGCGGUGAAAUGCGUAGAUAUCUGGAGGAACACCGGUGGCGAAGGCGGCAUCCUGGACCGGCAUUGACGCUGAGGAGCGAAAGCGUGGGGAGCAAACAGG
rnacentral:rRNA from 1 species